rnacentral:rRNA from 1 species
GACGAACGCUGGCGGCGUGCUUAACACAUGCAAGUCGAACGGAAAGGCCCUGCUCUUGUGGGGUGCUCGAGUGGCGAACGGGUGAGUAACACGUGUGUAACCUGCCCUUGUCAUUGGGAUAACUUCAGGAAACUGGGGCUAAUAUCGGAUAGGAGCUCCUGCUGCACGGUGGGGGUUGGAAAGUUUCGGCGGUUGGGGAUGGACUGGAGGCUUAUCAGCCUGUUGGGCGGGUAGGUGAUUACAAAGGCUGUGACGGGUAGGCGGCCUGGGAGGGUGACCGGCGACAUGGGGACUAAGAGACGGCGCAGACGCUAACGGGAGGCAGCAGGGGGGAAUAUGGCACAAUGGGCGGAAGCCUGAUGCAGCAACGCCGCGUGCGGGAUGACGGCCUUCGGGUUGUAAACCGCUUUCGCCUGUGACGAAGCGUGAGUGACGGUAAUGGGUAAAGAAGCACCGGCUAACUACGUG